GCAAAAUCGAGGAUCGAUCCCCCUAUUUUGGUCCCAGGAAACCUCACGGCUGAAUAUUAGGCCCGACAUCAUACUGUCAAAGAAGGACCAGAAUUACGAAGCCACAAGACUACACUUUGAGAAUCUUGUUUUGAGAUAUGGGAAUCCGAUAAUUAUAUUGAAUUUGAUUAAGACGCGCGAGAAGAAGCCACGAGAAAGUAUCCUCCGUGCUGAGUUUGCAAAUGCUAUAAGAUAUAUAAACAAAAGUUUAUCUGCAGAGAACCGCCUAAGAUUUCUCCACUGGGAUUUGAACAAACAUGCGAAAAGCAAAGCAUCCAACGUUUUGAUGCAGCUUGGAAGGGUUGCUACAUAUGCGUUGAACUUAACUGGAAUCUUUU
rnacentral:misc_RNA from 1 species